GACGAACGCUGGCGGCGUGCUUAACACAUGCAAGUCGAACGGUGAUCUUGAGAGCUUGCUCUUGGGUGAUCAGUGGCGAACGGGUGAGUAACACGUGAGUAACCUGCCCCUGACUCUGGAAUAACUUCGGGAAACCGAAGCUAAUACCGGAUACGACACAGAGCCGCAUGGUUUCUGUGUGGAAAGUUUUUCGGUUGGGGAUGGACUCGCGGCCUAUCAGCUUGUUGGUGAGGUAAUGGCUCACCAAGGCGACGACGGGUAGCCGGCCUGAGAGGGCGACCGGCCACACUGGGACUGAGACACGGCCCAGACUCCUACGGGAGGCAGCAGUGGGGAAUAUUGCACAAUGGGCGAAAGCCUGAUGCAGCGACGCCGCGUGAGGGAUGAAGGCCUUCGGGUUGUAAACCUCUUUCAGUAGGGAAGAAGCGCAAGUGACGGUACCUACAGAAGAAGCACCGGCUAACUACGUGCCAGCCGCCGCAGUAA
rnacentral:rRNA from 1 species